rnacentral:rRNA from 1 species
GNNNNNGCGGNGNGCUAUACAUGCAGUCGAGCGAAUGGAUUAAGAGCUUGCUCUUAUGAAGUUAGCGGCGGACGGGUGAGUAACACGUGGGUAACCUGCCCAUAAGACUGGGAUAACUCCGGGAAACCGGGGCUAAUACCGGAUAACAUUUUGAACUGCAUGGUUCGAAAUUGAAAGGCGGCUUCGGCUGUCACUUAUGGAUGGACCCGCGUCGCAUUAGCUAGUUGGUGAGGUAACGGCUCACCAAGGCAACGAUGCGUAGCCGACCUGAGAGGGUGAUCGGCCACACUGGGACUGAGACACGGCCCAGACUCCUACGGGAGGCAGCAGUAGGGAAUCUUCCGCAAUGGACGAAAGUCUGACGGAGCAACGCCGCGUGAGUGAUGAAGGCUUUCGGGUCGUAAAACUCUGUUGUUAGGGAAGAACAAGUGCUAGUUGAAUAAGCUGGCACCUUGGCGGUACCUAACCAGAAAGCCACGGACAACAACGUGCCAACAGCCACGGUAAUACGUGGGUGGGCAACGAUAUCCGGAAUUUUUUGCCCUUAUAGGGCGCGC